GAUGAACGCUGGCGGCGUGCCUAAUACAUGCAAGUCGAGCGAACAGACGAGGAGCUUGCUCCUCUGACGUUAGCGGCGGACGGGUGAGUAACACGUGGAUAACCUACCUAUAAGACUGGGAUAACUUCGGGAAACCGGAGCUAAUACCGGAUAAUAUAUUGAACCGCAUGGUUCAAUAGUGAAAGACGGUUUUGCUGGCACUUAUAGAUGGAUCCGCGCCGCAUUAGCUAGUUGGUAAGGUAACGGCUUACCAAGGCAACGAUGCGUAGCCGACCUGAGAGGGUGAUCGGCCACACUGGAACUGAGACACGGUCCAGACUCCUACGGGAGGCAGCAGUAGGGAAUCUUCCGCAAAGGGCGAAAGCCUGACGGAGCAACGCCGCGUGAGUGAUGAAGGUCUUCGGAUCGUAAAACUCUGUUAUUAGGGAAGAACAAAUGUGUAAGUAACUAUGCACGUCUUGACGGUACCUAAUCAGAAAGCCACGGCUAACUACGUG
rnacentral:rRNA from 1 species